UACGUAGGGUGCAAGCGUUGUCCGGAAUUAUUGGGCGUAAAGAGCUCGUAGGCGGUUUGUCGCGUCUGCUGUGAAAACUGGAGGCUCAACCUCCAGCUUGCAGUGGGUACGGGCAGACUAGAGUGCGGUAGGGGAGAUUGGAAUUCCUGGUGUAGCGGUGGAAUGCGCAGAUAUCAGGAGGAACACCGAUGGCGAAGGCAGAUCUCUGGGCCGUAACUGGACGCUGAGGAGCGAAAGCGUGGGGAGCGAACAGG
rnacentral:rRNA from 1 species